rnacentral:rRNA from 1 species
UACGUAGGGUGCGAGCGUUGUCCGGAAUUAUUGGGCGUAAAGAGCUCGUAGGCGGUUUGUCGCGUCUGCUGUGAAAACCCGAGGCUCAACCUCGGGCCUGCAGUGGGUACGGGCAGACUAGAGUGCGGUAGGGGAGAUUGGAAUCCUGGUGUAGCGGUGGAAUGCGCAGAUAUCAGGAGGAACACCAAUGGCGAAGGCAGAUCUCUGGGCCGUAACUGACGCUGGAGGAGCGAAAGCAUGGGGAGCGAACAGG